UUCAACUUUGUUCUUACAUUUGUGUUCUUUAUGUUUCCUUGGGCUAUGAAAUCUUCCUCUAACUACAAAAGAACUCAAAUUUGUUUGUAGAUUGGAAGGAGCCUCUAAUAUAGUUAAUUAGUCCUAGAUUUAAUUUUUGAGAAAUAGCUAAGCUUUGACACAAAAUCAAUUUGUGUGAAAGUUUAACUUUAAAUUUCCAGAUUACUAUUCACUAAAAUUCGGCAGUUUAUCUCAUUUAACACCAUCAGCAUCCAUUUUAGUUUAAUUUAUUUACACACUCGUUUGGUAGUUGUUUUAUAAUUAAGAAAAAGGAGCCCUGUUUUGUUGAAAACCCAAAACCCUCUCCCCUGUUUUCUAAUCAAACCCAGUACCCUCAUUCCUUUCUUUUUCUCGUUGCUGUGUGUUCUUUCGACCCCUGCUGCUCUCCUCUUUCAAAUCGCGAGUUGCCGAGUCAUGACUCUGCGUUACCGAGUUCAGUUAAUUGAUGUGCUGCGUUUUUGGUUGCUUGUGGCUUGAAUCUUGUCUUUGUAGUGUCGAGUUUAGCUGCUAAUUUCCUUUCGUUCCCUGCUUAUAGUUGAGUUGUUGUUGCUGCGUUUUGUUAGUAGUUUAGCUGAGCCAAGUUUCGUUUUAUUUGCUCUGUUUUCAUUGAGUCUCGAGUUUGUCGAGUCCUGCUGUGAUGUCGCUUUGUUCCUCGAGUCGCUACUGAGUCACGCGCUGAGUCAGUCCGAGUCACACUACUCUGUUUUGUUUUCAGCCUUGUUAAUUCCGAGUUUUGCUGCGUGAGUUCCGAGUGGUGCAGUCCAAAUCGAGUGCUUAUUUCUGUUUACAGCUUCGUUUUUGUUGUGAGUUUAGUCCGAGUAAUAGUCUAGUCAUGAGUGCUGCGUUUUCACGAGUUCUGUGCUUUGAAAUCAACUGCUGGGUUUUGUAGUUUUUAGUUUCAGCCGAGUCAAUAUCUUUAGUAUGGCUUUUGUUUUGUCUGUGAUUCCGGGUCUCGUAUAGUUUUCGUCGAGGUUGUUUGGGAGUCGAGUUAGUGUUUUGUUGCGUCAUUGCUUUAGGCUGAAUCUCACUUUACUUUGGUUGUGUGUAUAGGAUUUAUCUCAGCAUUUUGUGUGACUUGAUUUACCGGUGUGUUUUGGUUAUAAAUUUGUUUCGACUCAAAUUAAAUCAAUUUAAGCCUGCUUAUUUUUCUUUCAUUUGCUUUUGUUAGUUUCGAGUAAUGUUAACUUGUAAUAAGAUGUUAGGUUUGAUUUGUCAAAUGGUCACUUAGUUAUAAUAAAAUCUUGUCUAUUAAUUACUGGCCAAGUAGAUAGAUUAGUCCGUAUUUGUAUAAACAUUUAUCUUAAAUAAUUUAAUGUCUCUUAAUCAAUUUCGGUUGGCUAGUAAUUAGAUAGUUUAAAUUAAUUUAAUAAUUUUAGAUGAAAUUUUAGAAAAGAUACACACCCUCUCAUUCACUUAAUCGUUCUAAUUCGCCUAGAUUUAAAGUAAAGGAUUUGUGAAUAAUUUUAAUCUCUGUGGACGAAUCAUAAAUAUUAAAACGGUGAUCGUGCGCUUGCGAUUUAAAUGUUUUAUUUCUAGCACAUCAAGUUUUUGGCGCCGCUGCCGGGGAUUAAAAUUAAUUUUUCGCACCUUUAUUUUUAAUCUUUCGGAUUAGUUUGUUUCUCACUAUUUUUGUUUUUAUUUCGAGGAGGAUUAUUCGGGAAUUAUGGAGUAAAGUGGACAAAUUUUGCUCGGAAUUUGGAAGCUUGCUUUGGAAAAUUGCAAAAGCUUGAAGAAAUAAAAGAAUAAAGCAAAAAGAAGAAAAAGAUGGAAGAAAAGGAUCAUAGGGGAAUAUUCUCAUGGGAAGCAUCUAGAUGGGACACCUACACCCCCUCUACCCUAAUUUCCCCUAUAAAUACACACAUCCCCAUCAUGUUCCAACCAACCUAGGAUUUUCUCUUUUUAGUAGCCUCUCUUUUUGUAGUCUAGAUCUAGUUUUAAUUUGUAAUGCUCUCUUCUCCUUUUGUAAACACUUUAAUAUUUUAAUGCAAGAUUCAACUUUGUUCUUACAUUUGUGUUCUUUAUGUUUCCUUGGGCUAUGAAAUCUUCCUCUAACUACAAAAGAACUCAAAUUUGUUUGUAGAUUGGAAGGAGCCUCUAAUAUAGUUAAUUAGUCCUAGAUUUAAUUUUUGAGAAAUAGCUAAGCUUUGACACAAAAUCAAUUUGUGUGAAAGUUUAACUUUAAAUUUCCAGAUUACUAUUCACUAAAAUUCGGCAGUUUAUCUCAUUUAACACCAUCAGCAUCCAUUUUAGUUUAAUUUAUUUACACACUCGUUUGGUAGUUGUUUUAUAAUUAAGAAAAAGGAGCCCUGUUUUGUUGAAAACCCAAAACCCUCUCCCCUGUUUUCUAAUCAAACCCAGUACCCUCAUUCCUUUCUUUUUCUCGUUGCUGUGUGUUCUUUCGACCCCUGCUGCUCUCCUCUUUCAACUCACGAGUUGCCGAGUCAUGACUCUGCGUUACCGAGUUCAGUUAAUUGAUGUGCUGCGUUUUUGGUUGCUUGUGGCUUGAAUCUUGUCUUUGUAGUGUCGAGUUUAGCUGCUAAUUUCCUUUCGUUCCCUGCUUAUAGUUGAGUUGUUGUUGCUGCGUUUUGUUAGUAGUUUAGCUGAGCCAAGUUUCGUUUUAUUUGCUCUGUUUUCAUUGAGUCUCGAGUUUGUCGAGUCCUGCUGUGAUGUCGCUUUGUUCCUCGAGUCGCUACUGAGUCACGCGCUGAGUCAGUCCGAGUCACACUACUCUGUUUUGUUUUCAGCCUUGUUAAUUCCGAGUUUUGCUGCGUGAGUUCCGAGUGGUGCAGUCCAAAUCGAGUGCUUAUUUCUGUUUACAGCUUCGUUUUUGUUGUGAGUUUAGUCCGAGUAAUAGUCUAGUCAUGAGUGCUGCGUUUUCACGAGUUCUGUGCUUUGAAAUCAACUGCUGGGUUUUGUAGUUUUUAGUUUCAGCCGAGUCAAUAUCUUUAGUAUGGCUUUUGUUUUGUCUGUGAUUCCGGGUCUCGUAUAGUUUUCGUCGAGGUUGUUUGGGAGUCGAGUUAGUGUUUUGUUGCGUCAUUGCUUUAGGCUGAAUCUCACUUUACUUUGGUUGCGUGUAUAGGAUUUAUCUCAGCAUUUUGUGUGACUUGAUUUACCGGUGUGUUUUGGUUAUAAAUUUGUUUCGACUCAAAUUAAAUCAAUUUAAGCCUGCUUAUUUUUCUUUCA